rnacentral:lncRNA from 1 species
CUUUGAUAUCCAAUGAGUCAGAUCUAAUUAUACAUAUAAAAAGAUCAUAAGCAUUAAACUGAUUCUGUUGGCAUAAAGCAUAGACACUGGCUUGUUAUGAAGAAAAAUGCUACUAUGUUACUGUAAAUGCUUCUCUAGUUCCCACAAUAAUUGUACAGGAGCUGGCCGUGUAUAACGAGUUGUUCCCCACCUGGGAGCUACUUCACCAUAUUCCGAAUUCAAUGAUUGUAAUAAACUCCCUACAAUAGUUCGUCUUGGACCAGAUCUAGAACUGCUCUCAACAAUCUGUGUAGGCUCUAACUGGUGUCCUAAAUUUUUUUGUUCUUACUCUUUCUUUCUUGAAAAUUCUUUAACCUAUCGGAAGGAUAAAAGAAUGAGAGACUUUUUUUUCGGGACAGUAGUUAUCUGGUACAAGCUCCUGCAUACAAACUUUCACCCAAGCAGCCCCUGAACAGUACUAGCACAGGUGACCUCGACUAUCACAACACAUAAAAAAGCAUACAAGUACAAGCUCCCUCAUUCAAACUUCCAGCGAAUCAGUUGCACAACUCGACUGUCACCAUACAAUGAAGUAAGCUCUCAUAUGUUGUGCUCUUCAGGAGUAAUGUCAUAUCUACUACUGCUACCUUCCAUGUCAACCAACAUAUUUCAAACAUCAGAAUAGCAUCCAACUAGCUUUAAGUUUCACCAUCACACAGUAAGUGAUUUUAAGAAUAAUGAUCCAACACAGAUUCUAAAUGCAUCUAGAUUCCAUCACGGAAUUGUCAGGCUUCCUGGUAACUACUGUAUUUACACAUACUUGAAUCUUCCAAACAUUCUAAUGUCGUUAAUAAGAUUAAGCAAAUAUCCAUUUCAAAUUGGGGAACACGGAUAAUCAAUCAUCAAAUUUCUUAAAUUUCCAGUCAAUACACCAAUAAUCAAUUCUUAUAACAAGUAAAGAAAAUAGUAGCUCUUUCUUCCUAAUUUUUCCAAAUUCAAAACCCCUAAAAUUUUUAAAAUCUAUUAUAAAAAUCCCAACACAGAGAACAAUAAAACCCUCCUCAAUUUAACGUAGGGUCCCCAAAUUAAAAGCUAAAAGCCAAAAAACCUCCAUUAAUCAUCGUCGCGCUUCUUAGGCUUGCGGUAAUUUUCUUCAAUAUGUUUGCCAAUCAAGAGACCGGUGUUGAACAGCUUCCGGAUGUUGGGAACGUCGUAAUUCUGUGCUACGUACACUCCUACUGCUGAGCCCAUCAUGAAUGAAAAGCAACUCCUUAUUAUUCCCAUCUUUCGAUUUCCAAUCAAAAUUCAAACCUUUUAGAGGGAAUAUGAUAUUUUGGACCUGGGGUUUUUAGUAGGAAUCAGAGGUCGGAUUUGUCAAGGUUUGUGCGCGAAUUGACAGUUUGUGCCGGCCCCAAGAAAAAGAAUUUCAAGAUGAGGACAAUUAUGUAAAUUUACAAACAAAAAAUCAAUAAUUCUACUUGACCACAUUUGUUGGCACAAAAUUUGACACAAUGAUGUAAAAAAUGGGGUUAAAAAAAAUCCAAAAGAAAAAGGUCAUUAACGGGUUAGCCUUCAGCCGGGUCAAGCCCAUUUAAAACCAAAUUAUUC